rnacentral:rRNA from 1 species
GAUGAACGCUGGCGGUAUGCUUAACACAUGCAAGUCGAACGAAAGUUUUUAACUUUAGUGGCGAACGGGUGCGUAAUACGUGAGAAUCUGCCCUUAGGAGAAGAAUAACUGCUGGAAACGGCUGCUAAAUCUUCAUAUGCCGCGAGGUGAAAUAGUUUAGGCUGCCUAAGGAUGAGCUCACGCCUGAUUAGCUAGUUGGUAAGGUAAUGGCUUACCAAGGCCACGAUCAGUAGCUGGUUUGAGAGAACGAUCAGCCACACUGGGACUGAGACACGGCCCAGACUCCUCCGGGAGGCAGCAGUGAGGAAUUUUCCGCAAUGGGCGAAAGCCUGACGGAGCAAUACCGCGUGAGGGAUGAAGGAUUUUGGUCUGUAAACCUCUUUUCUCAAGAAAGAAGUUCUGACGGUACUUGAGGAAUAAGCAUCGGCUAACUCCGUGCCAGCAGCCGCGGUAAUACGGGGGAUGCAAGCGUUAUCCGGAAUCAUUGGGCGUAAAGCGCCUGUAGGUUGUUUACUAAGUCUGUUGUUAAAGACUAGGGCUUAACCCUAGAAAAGCAAUGGAAAACUUGUAGACUAGAGUAUGGCAGGGGUAGAGGGAAUUUCUAGUGUAGCGGUGAAAUGCGUAGAUAUUANAAAAGAACACCAGUGGCGAAAGCGCUCUACUGGACCAUUACUGACACUCAGAGGCGAAAGCUAGGGUAGCAAAAGGGAUUAGAUACCCCUGUAGUCCUAGCCGUAAACGAUGGAUACUAGAUGUUGUGCAUAGCACAGUAUCGUAGCUAACGCGUCAAGUAUCCCGCCUGGGGAGUACGCUCGCAAGGGUGAAACUCAAAGGAAUUGACGGGGGCCCGCACAAGCGGUGGAGCAUGUGGUUUAAUUCGAUGCAACGCGAAGAACCUUACCAGGGCUUGACAUACUACAAAUUCUUUUGAGAAAGAGAAGUGCCUUCGGGAAUGUAGAUACAGGUGGUGCAUGGCUGUCGUCAGCUCGUGUCGUGAGAUGUUGGGUUAAGUCCCGCAACGAGCGCAACCCUUAUAUUUAGUUACCAAUUCGUUGGGUUUUUUAGAAAGACUGCCGGUGACAAACCGGAGGAAGGUGAGGAUGACGUCAAGUCAGCAUGCCCCUUAUGUCCUGGGCUACACACGUGCUACAAAGGUUAAGACAAAGAGUCGCAAGCUCGUGAGAGUGAGCUAAUCUACUAAACUUAGCCUAAGUUCAGAUUGUAGGCUGCAACUCGCCUGCAUGAAGUUGGAAUCGCUAGUAAUCGCUGGUCAGCCAUACAGCGGUGAAUCCGU